rnacentral:rRNA from 1 species
GACGAACGCUGGCGGCGUGCUUAACACAUGCAAGUCGAGCGAGGCCCACCUUUCGGGGUGGUGUCCUAGCGGCGAACGGGUGAGUAACACGUGGGCAACCUGCCCCCGGCUCGGGGAUAACCCCAAGAAAUUGGGGCUAAUACCGGAUACGACCGCUGACCGCAUGGUCUGGUGGUGGAAAGAUUUAUCGGCUGGGGAUGGGCCCGCGGCCUAUCAGCUUGUUGGUGGGGUAGUGGCCUACCAAGGCGACGACGGGUAGCCGGCCUGAGAGGGUGGCCGGGCACACUGGGACUGGGACACGGCCCAGACUCCUACGGGAGGCAGCAGUGGGGAAUAUUGCGCAAUGGGCGAAAGCCUGACGUAGCGACGCCGCGUGGGGGAUGACGGCCUUCGGGUUGUAAACCUCUUUCAGCAGGGACGAAGCCCGCAAGGGUGACGGUACCUGCAGAAGAAGCACCGGCCAACUACGUGCCAGCCGCCGCCGUAA